rnacentral:rRNA from 1 species
UGCAAGUCGAGGGGUACAGGGAUUAGUUUACUAGUCUGCUGACGACCGGCGCACGGGUGAGUAACGCGUAUACAAUUUACCUUUUACAGGAGGAUAGCCCAGAGAAAUUUGGAUUAAUACUCCAUGGUAUUAUCGGAUCGCAUGGUUUGAUAAUUAAAGUUUCGGUGGUAGAAGAUGAGUAUGCGUCCUAUUAGCUGGUUGGUAAGGUAACGGCUUACCAAGGCGACGAUAGGUAGGGGUCCUGAGAGGGAGAUCCCCCACACUGGUACUGAGACACGGACCAGACUCCUACGGGAGGCAGCAGUGAGGAAUAUUGGUCAAUGGAGGCAACUCUGAACCAGCCAUGCCGCGUGCAGGAAGACUGCCCUAUGGGUUGUAAACUGCUUUUAUACAGGAAGAAACUUAUCCACGUGUGGAUAACUGACGGUACUGUACGAAUAAAGACCGGCUAACUCCGUGCCAGCAGCCGCGGUA